rnacentral:rRNA from 1 species
UACGGGGGGAGCAAGCGUUGUUCGGAUUUACUGGGCGUAAAGGGCGGGUAGGCGGCCACUGCAAGUCGGUUGUGAAAUCUCCGGGCUUAACCCGGAAAGGUCAAUCGAUACUGCAGGGCUAGAGUGCAGAAGGGGCAACUGGAAUUCUCGGUGUAGCGUUGAAAUGCGUAGAUAUCGAGAGGAACACCUGCGGCGAAGGCGGGUUGCUGGGCUGACACUGACGCUGAACUGCGAAAGCUAGGGGAGCGAACGGG